GCUAUUUAAUAUUAAACCAAUUAAUAUGAAUAUCCUAUCUCAUGCUGUCUCUAAACUUUAGAAGACAGUCUUUUAUUAUUGCAUAAAAAUCUGUUGGAAAUAAUUUCUUAAGAUCAUAAAGAGUGCAUUACAUUUUCAUUAUAUUAUAAGCAAAAUUUCAUCCCUACAAAAUAGAAUGCCUAUUUAACUCAAAUAAAUUUGAUAUACUUCCUUUUGGUUAAACAAGUAUAUUGCAUUUUAUAAGUAAAUUAUUUGGACUUGUCUGGCUUGUAUCUGUCUUAAAUCUUUUAGCAGAUGUGGAAAACAUGUUUAUUUUUGCAGUGUUCAAUAAUUGUCUGCUAGGUUUUGUCACUGAAUGCAAGCUCUAAUUCAACUUCUGCUGAGAAUUAGGCUUAAGUUAUGAUUGAGAAUAAGAAAAUUAUGAGCAAGUUGCCAAUUAUAUCUUGAAAAAUGUUUACUUCUAAACAUUUUGUUCUAAGUUGCAUAUUUCAUUUAAACAUGUCAAUAUUCUUUAAUAUUAGUCUAAUCAUUUAAAGGAUGUUAGUUUUUUUGUGUAAGAAACACACAAUUAAUCAAUGCAUUUUCAUUAACCACACCUGUGGGAGGCCUCAUUUGGAUUUGAACCAGGAGACCACUAUUGACAGUUAUCCCAAACAAAGACAUAAUAUUAACCUAGGAGCCCCAAAUAUGUGUAGUGAGGAAAACUCACAAUGGUUUGCCAGUGUUCUUAUUACAUUAUUUCAAACUAAGGAAUUUGAUUUUGUAAAUUAAAGUAUGCCAAACAUCCUCAGAAUCUAAGUGUUGCACUGACCAAUAUGGUAAUGCACUAGCCCCAAGUGACUAUAUGCUAAAUUUAAUUAAAAUUAAAUGAAAUUUAAAUUUAAUACUUCAGUCCCACUGCUAUACUUCAAGAACUUAAUCCCAAAUAGCUAGCACUUUCAUAUUAGAAAGUGCCUAUAUAGUUCCUGUCCAUCACAGCAGGGUAUUUCAUUGGACAACACUAGUCUAGCGUUUCCAUUUUCUAUAGUAAUGAAAACUAAAGUGAAAAAGAACUACUGAAAUAAUAUGAAUAGUAAAUAGUCAUUUUUUUAUUUCUGUAUUUUUCUCUGCCCACUUGUUUCUUAUAUUAAUACAGAAUCAUCCAAUAAGAUUUCAGCCUAAAAAUGGAAUAAUUUAUUUUAAUUAAUAAAUAAUUCAGAAAAACAAUCAAGAGUUAAUCUUAUGUUUUCUGAGGUAUGUUUUCUGAGAAUAUAGAAAAAAAACCUGAGUGUUAGAUGAAUAUUAACUUAUACAGAGAAAUCUAAAAUAAAGAUCUAUUUAUCAGUGGCAAAUUAGGCAAAACUAGUAGACAAAAUUCACUUCAAUUUAUAGUACCACACAUUUGAGAGAAUCCUCCAUUCUUUUCUCAUAUUUUCAAAGAAUGAUACAUUUCAGGGUUAUUUCUCCACGCCUACCUUUCUUAGAAAAAGUGGCUAAUUUGAGGCUUUCUUUUUUUUUUUUGAGAUGGAGUCUCGCUCUGUCAGCCAGGCUGGAGUGCAGUGGUGCAAUCUCGGCUCACUGCAACCUCCGCCUCCUGGGUUCAAGUGAUUCUCCUGCCUUAGCCUCCCGAGUAGCUGGGAUUACAGGCACCUGCCACCACACCUGGCUAAUUUUUGUACUUUUAGUACAGGCGGGGUUUCACCGUGUUGGCCAGGCUGGUCUUAAGCUCUGGACUUCAAGUGAUCCGCCCGCCUUGGCCUCCCAAAGGGUUGGGAUUACAGGCAUGAGCCACUGUGCCUAGCACUUUGAGACUCUUGCUACUUACGUCAUUUUGCUAGUAAAGGGGAUCAUUGGGCCCAAAAGCAAGUCUCUAUGUGUACUUGCUGAGAGCAGCCUGUGCUCAGAUACAGCAGGCUCCUUCAGCCUGCUCUUUCACUCUGUGUCCAGGUACACUGUGCUCUCGCUGUGCAAUUUUCUCUCCAGGACAGAGCUUUCCCUCUUUCUGUUUCAGGUUUAGAUCGUCUUGUAGGAAUGACUUGACUACAAUUCAAACAAUAUGGACCUCACUUCAGUCCCAGAUCUAAGCACAGUCUGUAAAGAAGCUUUUACCUGAGAGUCCUACAUUGCUCGACUAUUUUAAAAAAAUGGUUCCCAUAGGACUAUUAGUUCUCUAUUAUUUGUUCCAUUAGCCUGAACCUGGGGAGAAUAAGAUUUUUUUAAUAAAUGGAAAGCACAAUGUACAAUAGUGUUUCUUAAGCUUUUUUGGUUAUCCCCUCCACCCUGCUUGCCAAGGAGCCUUUUUAGAUAUUUUUUCCCUAAUCCCCCACUAUGAAAUUAUAAUACCCCAGAUAUGCUGUAUCUGUAAUUACUGUAUGUAUGUCUGUGCUUAAUAUUGUACAUUAAAAAGAUAAGAACUUUCCACCUUCCAAUAAUGAAGUUUUAUCCCCUUGGGGGCGAUAUUGCCCUCUUUGAUAAUGUUUGACAUACAGGAAUUGAAACAUCAGAAAUAGAUACUACUUUCAAUAUUGCAGAACAUUGUCAAGUAUAUUUCAAACCAUUUAGCUUGCUAGAGUGUGGAAAUUAAGAAAAUUUUUUUUUCUUCCUGCAUGCAACAUAAUUUGCAUAUAUCAACAGCGAUGUAAGUAAGGAAAUAACUUAUUUGGGCUUUCUGAAAAGUCAUAGUAUCUGAAAUCACCUGGCCCUUGACCUUAAAAGAUCUUAUGUCAUUCUACUCCAGCAUUUUUCACUGUAAUUGCUUAUAGGCAGGGAAGGAUUGUGGAAGAAUGAGAGACAAGGAUAUGGAGAAAGAACAGAGAAAUGGCUGUAGGUACCUAGAUCAUGGCAUAUGGUACAUCUUUAACUUUCCAAUAACCAUUAAUUCAAGCCCAUUAGCCAAUAGCUUGCUCAUGUUUCUUUUGAAGCCUCCUAAAACAAUAGUUGACACCUGGAGAACAUCUCUUACUCCCCAACUUCAAUUAUGAAAAGAAAAUAAUAUUCAAAUGUUAAGCACUGAAUUCAAUAAGAGAAAGCCAGUCACAGAUUAAAGAAAUAAUUGCUAAGAUUUACACUAACCUGUUUUUUCACUUAGUCAAAAAUGUCCUCCAUAUUGGUUGAUAAAUCAAGAAAUCUUUACAAUUAAAAUAAAUGGUGCUUCACUGAUAUUUUCUUCCAUUAUGCUUUAUAAAACUAAUAGAAUAUGGGUUUUCAAAGAGUAACAUAUUAUUCUUAAAAUGUAUUCAAUUAAAGUUAACACAGGCAAAAAUACACUCUCUAAUGUAUUCUAUCAUGCAUUCCCUCAUUCAGUGAAUACUCUCUGUGGGCCUACUAUGUGCCAGGCAUUAUGCACCAGACGAAAACAUAUCUUCUUGAGAAGCCAGUGCUAAGUCACUGUUCUUGUUCAUAUUUGGAUCCCUUCCCUUUUCAGGUGAGUUUCUUACAAGAAAAGGGCUUAGUGUCUUUUCCCUUUGUUAAGUUUCUUAAUGAAAUUAGGCUUAGGAAGACUGAGUUCCCUAUUCCGUCCUUUCUCUUCCUAAAUCUUUACUGUAUGUUGAGAGUAAAUAUUAAAAACUUUCUGACUGUACUUAUCAUAUUCCAAGGCAUUUCAGUGAGGAGCAGAAACAAGCUUUUUAUUAAAUCAUCUCCAGUCAUGUAAGGUUUUGGUGCUCUCCUUUUCACCCUUUUUUUUUUUUUUUUCACAUGGAAACUUAAUCUUGGAGGGGCUAAGUGAAUACAACUUCGAUUAAAUUACUACUUUCACAAACAACUCAAGAAUACUUAGUUCUUCUCCCUCUUCAUUAGCUUCUAUCUUCGUAUUUCUUAUCAAAUAUAAAAUUUAUAGAGAAUUUAUACCAUAAAUUCUCUCAAAUGAUGCACUUAAAAUAAUUUCAUGAUUAAAAACUAAUAUUAUCUACCUAUGCUAAUCUGAAACAUUAGCCUACAAUUGUUAUUUAUUCACUUUGGGGAAAGAAGAAAAAAGUUUUGAGUAGUUACACUCCAUUUAUUAAAAAUCCUUUAUUUUCUAGUGUCUAAAAUAUUUCAAUGUCUAGGAAGAAAAAAAAUCCUCUUGUGAGGUUAAUAAUGUAUUCAAAGCAUUUUUCUAUUAGUUAGUGAAUUUAAAAAGCACAUACAGAAAGAACACAAGUGGUAACAGAAAAGUGAGGAUGAUCUAACCCUACCUCACAGCCUAAAAAAAGAAUGCUAUGACUUGUUUCUGUGAGGUCCCCAAGUGGCAAGGAGAGAGUGCUCCAUGGGGAGCUAACACCUGACAUUUUGCACAGAAAGGUGUCUCCUAGAAUUACCUCACACUCUGCAUAGAUAUAGAGAUUACUGUCAUCUUCAGUGAGUUUGAGAGGGGCCUAUAAAUAGGAUCAGGUGAGGUCUGAAUAAGCAAUGAUGUGUGUCUGAUCUUCUGAUCCAGAAUGAAAUGAAAACAUAAUUAGUUAACACGGAAUGUGCUUUUAAAAUGCAGAUAUGUAAUCCUUAUCUUACUUUUGUAUGUCUCUCAUUUUUACCUUUGUUUACUGCAAAUGAUAUGUGAGGUAGCAUCCUGCCCUAUUAAGUAUGCAGAUAUGGAGAACAUUCAGUAAGAUAGCUUUUCAUUAUUUAUUUAGGCAGAACAUACAGUACUUGAAAUCUGUGGGUUGCCAUGAGGUUCCCAUGGCAACUCUUCUAUGGAUAAGAAUGCUUGACUAGGCUGGUAGACUUGCUGUUACCAUCACCAGCCAUACCAUCAUUUGAGGAUACAGUACUCUCCCCUCAUCUGUGCUGUCACUUUUCGUGGUUUCAGUUACCUUCAGUCAACCAUGGUCUGAAAAUAGGUUGGUUCAUUAACGGAAAUAUUAACAGCAACUUAUAUGUACUUCUCCACUUGUUGCUCCAAGAGAUUUACAGCCUCUUUUUCUGUCUUCAGAUACUACUUUGAAAACAAGAUGAAAGCCAUGGAAUCUCCCGAGAAAAAUGUACAUCUUACAGACUUUCAGUGAGUUCUGGAAUACCAGGAACCAGAGCCCACACUAAUGAACAGCAGUUUCCUAACCUAAUGCGAGAGAUUUGAGAUUUCUUCUGGCUCCCAUGAUCUUCUAAUUGUCUUCUUAGCAAGACUAAACACAUCUCCAAGAAAUGUGCACUGCCAUGAAUGUCUUCCAGCUAUCUUCUAUGACAGCACUUCCCAGUGUGUUCUGUGGAAUAAUGGUACAGGGUGAUAUUCUAUGAAGAAAAAUACGGAAAGUAAUAUACUCCACAGUCCGUAUAUUAGAUCGGACUAAUAAAAAUAAAUAUGGAAAGUAAUAUAUUCCACAGUCAUAUAUUAGAUCGCCUACACAACAGCAAUUUGAUAUAGUUUAAUAGGAUUUGAAUGAAUAAAAUUAAUGCCCACAGCUA
rnacentral:lncRNA from 1 species